UGGACCGUGGUUUAGUGGUUAGAGCGUCCGCCCGGAGAGCGGAAGGUCGCGGGUUCGAUCCCCGACCGCCUCAU